GAUGAACGCUGGCGGCGUGCCUAAUACAUGCACGUCGAGCGAACAGACGAGGAGCUUGCGCCUCUGACGUUAGCGGCGGAAGGGUCAUUAACACGUGGCUAACCUACCUGUAAGACUGGGAUAACUUCGGGCAACCUGCGCUAAUACCGGAUAAUAUAUCGAACCGCAUGGGUCAAUAGUGAUAGCCGCUGUUGCGGUCACUUAUAGACGGAUCCGCGCCGCAUUAGCUAGUUGGUAAGGUAACGGCUUACCAAGGCAACGAUGCGUAGCCGACCGGAGAGGGUGAUCGGCCCCCCUGGAAGUGAGACACGGCCCAGACUCCUACGGGAGGCAGCAGCCGGGAAUCUGCCGCAAUGCGCGCAGGCCUGACGGAGCAACGCGGCAUGAAGCAGGAAGGUCUCCGGCUCGUAAAACUCUGUUAGUCGGCAAGAACAAAUGUGUAAGUAACUAUGCACAUCUUGACCGUACCUAGUCAAAAAGCCACGGCUAACUUCGUG
rnacentral:rRNA from 1 species